rnacentral:tRNA from 1 species
GGCUCCACAGUGUAGUGGUUACCACGUCUGUUUUACACACAGAAGGUCCUGGGUUCAUACCCCAGGUGGAGCCA